UUCAUCGCUCGCGAUGUUUAACUGACAUGAUUGUGGGACGUCCUACCGGUGGGCUUAGCUCCUCACGGGGCGGUCCAGCUAAUAUCCCAUCGCGGUGCUCUUCAUCGAGUGUCGAGGUGGGCCGGUACGUUUACUUUGAACAAAUUAGAGUGCUCAAAGCAGGCUAUGUUCGCCUGAAUACAUGUGCAUGGAAUAAUGGAAUAGGACCUCGGUUCUAU
rnacentral:rRNA from 1 species